rnacentral:rRNA from 1 species
CAGUAGCCACGGGAAUACAGAGGGUGCGAGCGUUAAUCGGAUUUACUGGGCGUAAAGCGUGCGUAGGCGGCUAAUUGAGUCGGAUGUGAAAUCCCCGAGCUUAACUUGGGAAUUGCAUUCGAUACUGGUUAGCUAGAGUGUGGGAGAGGAUGGUAGAAUUCCAGGUGUAGCGGUGAAAUGCGUAGAGAUCUGGAGGAAUACCGAUGGCGAAGGCAGCCAUCUGGCCUAAUACUGACGCUGAGGUACGAAAGCAUGGGGAGCAAACAGGAUUAGAUACCCCAGUAGUCCCUGUCUCUUAUAA